CACAGUGUAGCAAUACAUGGGUGGCGACCGGCAAACGGGUGCGGAACACGUACGCAACCUUCCUUCAGGCGGGGAAUAGCCCAGAGAAAUUUGGAUUAAUACCCCAUAAUAUUUUGAGAUGGCAUCAUCUUAUUAUUAAAGCUACGGCACCUGGAGAUGGGCGUGCGGCUGAUUAGGUAGUUGGCGGGGUAAUGGCCCACCAAGCCUACGAUCAGUAGCUGAUGUGAGAGCAUGAUCAGCCACACGGGCACUGAGACACGGGCCCGACUCCUACGGGAGGCAGCAGUAAGGAAUAUUGGUCAAUGGACGCAAGUCUGAACCAGCCAUGCCGCGUGGAGGAUGAAGGUCCUCUGGAUUGUAAACUUCUUUUAUCUGGGACGAAAAAAGGGUUUUCUAACUCGUCUGACGGUACCAGAUGAAUAAGCACCGGCUAACUCCGUGCCAGCAGCCGCGGUAAUACGGAGGGUGCAAGCGUUAUCCGGAUUCACUGGGUUUAAAGGGUGCGUAGGCGGGCAUUUAAGUCAGUGGUGAAAUACCUGAGCUUAACUUGGGAACUGCCAUUGAUACUAUUUGUCUUGAAUGUCGUGGAGGUUAGCGGAAUAUGUCAUGUAGCGGUGAAAUGCUUAGAUAUGACAUAGAACACCUAUUGCGAAGGCAGCUAACUACGCGAAUAUUGACGCUGAGGCACGAAAGCGUGGGGAUCAAACAGGAUUAGAUACCCUGGUAGUCCACGCCCUAAACGAUGAUUACUCGACAUUAGCGAUACACUGUUAGUGUCUGAG
rnacentral:rRNA from 1 species